GUUAAAAUGAUGUCAAAUCACUGUUGAAAAAUGUAUUUUGGUGGAAAAAUGGGGCUCAAACAAGGGCUAAUUCUGUAUGUGCAGAUCUCAACUAGAAAGCUUUGCAUCUUUAUGUUACAAUUUUGUUUUUAUUAGGUGAAAAUUUGAUCUUUCCUCCAUGUUAAUUUAGAAAUGUUCAUGCAUUGAAGGUUGUAGGAUACUUUCUGGAUGCAAAAACAUUCCAGUUGAAAUUUGUUUGCCCAAAGAACAAAAAUAGUGUAGAAUUCAUGAGAUCCUAAUUGAUGCAGAUAAUCUCCCAGUUAAGUUUGGAAGUAAAGCCAUACUGCAGUACAACCAUCAGGACAUAGCUUGAGAACAAUUUAAAACCAACAGGUACUCUAUUACUGGGUAUAAAAUGAUUUCUUACAAUAACUAGCAAAUGGGAGUAUCUCUAAUUUUUCUUUUAAUAAAUCAUUUUAUCCUCUUUUGAGUUAUUUUCAUUUCAAUACUGAUUAAAAUGUUUCUAAUAUUUGCUCACCUUGAUUUUGUUGGACAAUUCAUACUUAAUUUGAUAGAUCAAAUAACUUACUAUAAUUAUUAUGAUGUAAGUUCUGCAAUAAAAAUAAGAAAGUUGGAAAGUUGAUGAGUAAGACUCAUAUUUCGGAAAGUUUAUGUUAAAUCGGAAGCUGAAAGAGUGAAAGCGUUCCUUUUUUAUUGAGUGAGGGAUCAAUAGGGUUUGAAAUACCACCCCAAUCUUGGGGAAAUGACAUCUCUUUUUCCUAGUCUUAUAUAACUUUCUAAUAAUCUUUUACCGAGUCUCAGAUUAUGGUGUAGCUGUUCUUUUUAUGGAGGUUGACAUCGACUUCAAUAAAGAGCCUAUUGGUGCAGACAAAGAUAGUAAAGAUGUCAAUUUCAAGGGUAUACGGCCAUCAACUGAAAAAAUUGCAUAGGUAUACAUGUAUAUUGCACUAAAUGCCCAUUUGCAAAAAGGGAAUAUCAAAUUGUGAAGUAACAUGAAAAUUAUAUGUUUGAAGUGGUUCAAUCCAGUGUAUUGCCUAUAUGUUCAAAAGUAUAUAUGAAUCUAUCACAAAGGGUAAUGCCAUGUGGAAUCAGUUAUCAGUACUAAUUGCCAAGCACUGUUACUUGUUACCCAGUUGUGUAUUCACCUUUGUUUUACUCUUCGUUAUGUUUUGUUUUGUCAUCUUUG
rnacentral:lncRNA from 1 species